rnacentral:rRNA from 1 species
CACGAGUUUGAUCCUGGCUCAGGAUGAACGCUAGCGGCAGGCUUAAUACAUGCAAGUCGAGGGGCAGCACGGGUAGCAAUACCUGGUGGCGACCGGCAAACGGGUGCGGAACACGUACGCAACCUUCCUUUGAGCGGGGAAUAGCCCAGAGAAAUUUGGAUUAAUACCCCAUAGUAUAAUGAAGUGGCAUCACUUUAUUAUUAAAGAUUUAUCACUCGAAGAUGGCUGUGCGGCUGGUUAGGUAGUUGGCGGGGUAAAGGCCCACCAAGCCUGCGAUCAGUAACUGGUGUGAGAGCACGACCAGUCACACGGGCACUGAGACACGGGCCCGACUCCUACGGGAGGCAGCAGUAAGGAAUAUUGGUCAAUGGAGGCAACUCUGAACCAGCCAUGCCGCGUGGAGGAUGAAGGUCCUCUGGAUUGUAAACUUCUUUUAUAUGGGACGAAAAAGGCUUUUCUAAGUCGUCUGACGGUACCAUAUGAAUAAGCACCGGCUAACUCCGUG